rnacentral:rRNA from 1 species
AAUCAACGCUGGCGGCGUGCCUCAGACAUGCAAGUCGAACGCGAAAGUUCCCUUCGGGGGGCGAGUAGAGUGGGCGCAACGGGUGAGUAACACGUAGGUAAUCUACCUUUGGGUGGGAAUAACAGCCGGAAACGGCUGCUAAUACCGCAUAAUGCAGCGGCUCGACAUCGAGACAGUUGUUAAAGCGGGGGAUCGCAAGACCUCGCGCCUAAAGAGGAGCCUGCGGCGGAUUAGCUUGUUGGUGAGGUAAUGGCUCACCAAGGCAUCGAUCCGUAGCCGGCCUGAGAGGGCGGUCGGCCACACUGACACUGACAUACGGGUCAGACUCCUACGGGAGGCAGCAGUCGGGAAUUUGGGCAAUGGGCGCAAGCCUGACCCAGCAACGCGCGUGAA